AUUGAACGCUGGCGGCAGGCCUAACACCUGCAAGUCGAGCGAGCGGCGGACGGUUGCGUAAUGUCUGGGAAACUGCCUGAUGGCGGGGGAUAACUACUGGAAACGGUAGCUAAUACCGCAUACCAUCCGAUUUGCCCAGAUGGGAUUAGCUAGUAGGUGGGGUAACGGCUCACCUAGGCGACGAUCCCUAGCUGGUCUGAGAGGAUGACCAGCCACAUUGGAACUGAGACACGGCCCACACUCCUACGGGAGGCAGCAGUGGGGAAUAUUCCACAAUGGGCGCAAGUCUGAUGGAGCCAUGCCGCGUGAGUGAAGAAGGCCUUCGGAUUGUAAAGCACUGUCAUCGGGGAGGCGGUACCCGCAGAAGAAGCACCGGCUAACUCCGUGCCAGCAGCCGCGGUAAUAC
rnacentral:rRNA from 1 species